rnacentral:rRNA from 1 species
UACGGGGGGGGGUAAGCGUUGUUCGGAAUUACUGGGCGUAAAGGGCUCGUAGGCGGCCAACUAAGUCAGACGUGAAAUCCCUCAGCUUAACUGGGGAACUGCGUCUGAUACUGGAUGGCUUAGAUUUGGGAGAGGGAUGCGGAAUUCCAGGUGUAGCGGUGAAAUGCGUAGAUAUCUGGAGGAACACCGGUGGCGAAGGCGGCAUCCUGGACCAACAUUGACGCUGAGGAGCGAAAGCCAGGGGAGCAAACGGG